rnacentral:rRNA from 12 species
GUUAAGUGACUAAGCGUAUACGGUGGAUGCCUAGGCAGUUAGAGGCGAUGAAGGACGUGUAAGUCUGCGAAAAGCUGUGGUGAGCUGACAAAAAGCAUUUGAACCACAGAUGUCCGAAUGGGGGAACCCACCGCUUCGGCGGUAUCGUUAACUGAAUACAUAGGUUAACGAAGCAAACGAGGGGAACUGAAACAUCUAAGUACCCUUAGGAAAAGAAAUCAACCGAGAUUCCCCAAGUAGCGGCGAGCGAACGGGGAGCAGCCGAGUAAUUAUGAAGUAGUGGAAUGUGUUGGAAAGCACAGCGAUACAGGGUGAUAGCCCCGUACACGAAGCGUCAUAGUUGCCAUAUUAAGUAGGUCGGGACACGUGUUAUCCUGACUGAAGAUGGGGGGACCAUCCUCCAAGGCUAAAUACUCCUAACUGACCGAUAGUGAACUAGUACCGUGAGGGAAAGGCGAAAAGAACCCCUGUGAGGGGAGUGAAAUAGAACCUGAAACCGUAUACGUACAAGCAGUAGGAGCCCACUUGUUGGGUGACUGCGUACCUUUUGUAUAAUGGGUCAGCGACUUAUAUUUAGUAGCAAGGUUAACCGAAUAGGGGAGCCGUAGCGAAAGCGAGUGUUAACUGCGCGUUUAGUUGCUAGGUAUAGACCCGAAACCCGGUGAUCUAGCCAUGGGCAGGUUGAAGGUUGAGUAACAUCAACUGGAGGACCGAACCGACUAACGUUGAAAAGUUAGCGGAUGACUUGUGGCUGGGGGUGAAAGGCCAAUCAAACCGGGAGAUAGCUGGUUCUCCCCGAAAUCUAUUUAGGUAGAGCCUCGGACGAACACCAUUGGGGGUAGAGCACUGUUAAGGCUAGGGGGUCAUCCCGACUUACCAACCCUUUGCAAACUCCGAAUACCGAUGAGUGCUAUCCGGGAGACACACGGCGGGUGCUAACGUCCGUCGUGAAGAGGGAAACAACCCAGACCGCCAGCUAAGGUCCCAAAAUAUUGCUAAGUGGGAAACGAGGUGGGAAGGCUAAGACAGCUAGGAGGUUGGCUUAGAAGCAGCCAUCCUUUAAAGAAAGCGUAAUAGCUCACUAGUCGAGUCGGCCUGCGCGGAAGAUGUAACGGGGCUAAGCAAUAUACCGAAGCUGCGGAUUUGAACUUCGGUUCAAGUGGUAGGGGAGCGUUGUGUAAGUGGCUGAAGGUGUUUCGAGAGGAAUGCUGGACAUAUCACAAGUGCGAAUGCUGACAUGAGUAACGAUAAUGGGGGUGAAAAACCCCCACGCCGGAAGACCAAGGUUUCCUGUCCCAUGCUAAUCAGGGCAGGGUAAGUCGGCCCCUAAGGCGAGGCGGAAACGCGUAGUCGAUGGGAAACGGAUUAAUAUUUCCGUACUUGUUAUAUCAGUGAAGGGGGGACGGAGAAGGUUAUGCUAGCUUGGCGUUGGUAGUCCAAGUGAAAGUGCGUAGGGUUGAAUUUUAGGAAAAUCCGGAAUUCUACAUGCCUGAGACACGAGACGAGAUUCUACGGAAUUGAAGUAGCAAAUACCAUGCUUCCAGGAAAAGCCUCUAAACUUAUGAUAUAGCGAACCGUACCCCAAACCGACACAGGUGGUCAGGUAGAGAAUACUAAGGCGCUUGAGAGAACUCGGGUGAAGGAACUCGGCAAAAUUGUACCGUAACUUCGGGAGAAGGUACGCCCUUGCUUGUGUAAUGCUUUACGCAUGAAGCAGGUGAGGGCCGCAGUGACCAGGAGGCUGGGACUGUUUAUUAAAAACACAGCACUGUGCUAAAUCGAAAGAUGACGUAUACGGUGUGACACCUGCCCGGUGCCGGAAGGUUAAUUGAUGGGGUUAGCGCAAGCGAAGCUCUUGAUCGAAGCCCCGGUAAACGGCGGCCGUAACAAUAACGGUCCUAAGGUAGCG